CUACGGGGCGCUGCAGUGGGGGAUAUUGCACAAUGGGCGAAAGCCUGAUGCAGCAACGCCGCGUGAAGGAAGACGGUUUUCGGAUUGUAAACUUCUAUCAGCAGGGAAGAAAAUGACUGUACCUGACUAAGAAGUCCCGGCUAACUCCGUGCCAGCAGCCGCGGUAAUACGGAGGGGACUAGCGUUGUUCGGAAUUACUGGGCGUAAAGAGUUCGUAGGCGGACUGACAAGUUAGAGGUGAAAUCCCAGGGCUCAACCCUGGAACUGCCUUUAAAACUGUCAGUCUAGAGACCGGAAGAGGUUAGGGGAAUACCUAGUGUAGAGGUGAAAUUCGUAGAUAUUAGGUGGAACACCAGUGGCGAAGGCGCCUAACUGGUCCGGUACUGACGCUGAGGAACGAAAGCGUGGGAGCAAACAGGAUUAGAUACCCCUGUAGUC
rnacentral:rRNA from 1 species